UUCUAGUUGUUCGCAAUGGGUCUUUUUGUUGUUGUUGGAAAAAUAUAACCUGUUCAAGCGAUAUGAAAAUGGAUGCAGAAAUCAGGUCUUUUAUGAACUUGAAACACAUCGGCUAGGUCUUCAUCCUCACCUGCACUGGAAUUACCUACUUAAAAAAAACAAACUAAUGAUACACAAAGAAGCACUUAUAAUGUUUCUGUCAUCCUUCAAGAGGUCUGAAUAAAUCAUGGAACCAUGUUCAAGGGCUGCUGUAUUAGAACAAUCAGGUCAAUGGAGCAUCUUCGGUGCUGUUGAGAACUACCAAUUUUGUGACAAUCAUUGAAAUUGUGCUGCAUUACAGUGUCUUUGAGGACAUACAAACAAACCAGUAUG
rnacentral:lncRNA from 1 species